rnacentral:rRNA from 1 species
UACUUGUGGUGAGGUAAUGGCUCACCAAGGCGACGACGGGUAGCCGGCCUGAGAGGGCGACCGGCCACACUGGGACUGAGACACGGCCCAGACUCCUACGGGAGGCAGCAGUGGGGAAUAUUGCACAAUGGGCGAAAGCCUGAUGCAGCGACGCCGCGUGAGGGAUGACGGCCUUCGGGUUGUAAACCUCUUUCAGCAGGGAAGAAGCGAAAGUGACGGUACCUGCAGAAGAAGCGCCGGCUAACUACGUGCCAGCAGCCGCGGUAAUACGUAGGGCGCGAGCGUUGUCCGGAAUUAUUGGGCGUAAAGAGCUCGUAGGCGGCUUGUCACGUCGGUUGUGAAAGCCCGGGGCUUAACCCCGGGUCUGCAGUCGAUACGGGCAGGCUAGAGUUCGGUAGGGGAGAUCGGAAUUCCUGGUGUAGCGGUGAAAUGCGCAGAUAUCAGGAGGAACACCGGUGGCGAAGGCGGAUCUCUGGGCCGAUACUGACGCUGAGGAGCGAAAGCGUGGGGAGCGAACAGGAUUAGAUACCCUGGUAGUCCACGCCGUAAACGGUGGGCACUAGGUGUGGGCGACAUUCCACGUCGUCCGUGCCGCAGCUAACGCAUUAAGUGCCCCGCCUGGGGAGUACGGA